rnacentral:rRNA from 1 species
GAUGAACGCUGGCGGCGUGCCUAAUACAUGCAAGUCGAGCGAACAGACGAGGAGCUUGCUCCUCUGACGUUAGCGGCGGACGGGUGAGUAACACGUGGAUGACCUACCUAUAAGACUGGGAUAACUUCGGGAAACCGGAGCUAAUACCGGAUAAUAUAUUGAACCGCAUGGUUCAAUAGUGAAAGACGGUUUUGCUGUCACUUAUAGAUGGAUCCGCGCCGCAUUAGCUAGUUGGUAAGGUAACGGCUUACCAAGGCAACGAUGCGUAGCCGACCUGAGAGGGGGAUCGGCCACCCUGAAACUGAGACACGGUCCAGACUCCUACGGGAGGCAGCAGUGGGGAAUCUUCCGAAAUGGGCGAAAGCCUGACGGAGCAACGCCGCGGGAGUGAUGAAGGUCUUCGGAUCGUAAAACUCUGUUAUUAGGGAAGAACAAAUGUGAAAGUAACUAUGCACGUCUUGACGGUACCUAAUCAGAAAGCCACGGCUACUACGUG